AGAGUUUGAUCCUGGCUCAGGAUGAACGCUAGCGGCACGCUUCAUACAUGCAAGUCGAGGGGCAGCAUAAAGUACUUGUACUUUGAUGGCGACCGGCGAACGGGUGCGUAACGCGUAUGCAACUUACCUUUUACUAGAGAAUAGCCAAGAGAAAUUUUGAUUAAUGCUCUAUUCUCUUUUUAACUCACAUGAGUUUUUAAGAAAAGCUCCGGCGGUAAAAGAUGGGCAUGCGUCCUAUUAGCUUGUAGGUGAGGUAACGGCUCACCUAAGCUCCGAUAGGUAGGGGUCCUGAGAGGGAGAUCCCCCACACUGGUACUGAGACACGGACCAGACUUCUACGGAAGGCAGCAGUAAGGAAUAUUGGACAAUGGAGGAAACUCUGAUCCAGCGAUGCCGCGUGAAGGAAGACGGCCCUAUGGGUUGUAAACUUCUUUUAUACAGGAAGAAACCUUUCCACGUGUGGAAAGCUGACGGUACUGUAAGAAUAAGGAUCGGCUAACUCCGUGCCAGCAGCCGCGGUAAUACGGAGGAUCCAAGCGUUAUCCGGAAUUAUUGGGUUUAAAGGGUCCGCAGGCUGUUUGUUAAGUCAGGGGUGAAAUCCUACCGCUCAACGGUAGAACUGCCUUUGAUACUGGCAAACUUGAGUUAUUGUGAAGUAGUUAGAAUGUGUAGUGCAGCGGUGAAAUGCAUAGAUAUUACACAGAAUACCAAUUGCGAAGGCAGAUUACUAACAAUUAACUGACGCUGAGGGACGAAAGCGUGGGUAGCGAACAGGAUUAGAUACCCUGGUAGUCCACGCCGUAAACGAUGGUCACUAGCUGUUCGAUGUACAUUGGUACAUUGAGUGGCUAAGCGAAAGUGAUAAGUGACCCACCUGGGGAGUACGCUCGCAAGAGUGAAACUCAAAGGAAU
rnacentral:rRNA from 1 species